AGAAGCCCAAAUACAAAAAAAAAGGAAAAAAAAUCUAAUCGCUCCCCUCGCUCUCCUCGCUCCCCUCCUCCUCCUUCUCCACAUCCGAACGAAUCGUCUUCUCCUAGGUCGUAUCCUCUUCUCCCCUCGCUCAAACGCCCUCGCUCUCCUCCUCCUCCUCCGUCGCCGCAACCGAUGAGUUAGGGUUUCGGCGGCCGGAGUUCGGCCGCGAGGAUCUCGCGGGGACCGUCGCCGGAGGAGUAAGCGCCAAACGUCGAGGCGACGACGGUGGUGGGGAAGCAGGAGUCCGGCGACCUGGUUGUGCUCGUGGCGGCGUCGAAGGCGUGGAAGGUGUAGACGGAGAAGAAGGUUUCUCUGUUCUGCGAGGACGUGCGUCGCCUUUGAACAUUUGUUCUUACUACUAGUGGUUUCAGACGCAUCUAGCGCUCGUAAUAUUCAUCCACAACCUCAUUGCCCUUCGGGUUCAACAUCUUAAUUGCCGAGCUCACUACGACUGGAUCUGAUAUGAUAUUAUUAGCUUUUGUUUUCAUUUCUCUUUCUCUUGGGUUAAAAAGUUAGAAAUUGUUGGUACUAUAAUUUAGUGACUAAAUACUCGUUUAAAGAUAUAUGGAUAAUACCUUGAGACAUUUUGGUAUUAAUUAGUGUAACUACAAAACUUCUUUUAUAUGCUUUCUUUGUUAAUGCAAAUCAAGACGAAUAAAAUUAAAGAUAUGCUUAAUGAUAAUCAUCGUGGAGUGGUAUUAUAUUUUAAAAA